GGCGAACGGGUGAGUAACACGUGGGUGAUCUGCCCUGCACUCUGGGAUAAGCCUGGGAAACUGGGUCUAAUACCGGAUAGGAGCCAUCUUUAGUGUGGUGGUUGGAAAGUUUUUCGGUGUAGGAUGAGCUCGCGGCCUAUCAGCUUGUUGGUGGGGUAAUGGCCUACCAAGGCGGCGACGGGUAGCCGGCCUGAGAGGGUGGACGGCCACAUUGGGACUGAGAUACGGCCCAG
rnacentral:rRNA from 1 species